UAUUUUUUAAAAACUCAUCAAUACACAUACAAUGUGUAUACAUAUACAUACAUAAUUAAAAUAUUUAAAUCUUGUGUACUUUUUCAUCAUUUAAAUGAAAUGCUAAUCUCUAAAUUUGGAGUCAAGGAUGUUUCUGUGGCAGUGACUAUUAAAACUCUGCUUGUCUGAUUCUGAUUUCAGAGGCUGGAACUAUUCUCUUCCAAAACAUCUCCCACAGCUUUGGCCUUUCUGCUCCAAAAGACUCUCCAAAGGUACUCAGUGAGUGCUGACACUCAUGGACUUCAGGGAACAGAGCAAGAUGUCACCAAGAAACAAGCCUUCCUUGUGAAUGAGCACCAUGCACAGGCCACUGUGGAUACAGCCAGAUGCCAACCUCUUCUGGUGUGUGGGCUGGGAAACAAGAAGAGCCAGCUUCCACAGCCCCUCCACGGGCACCAGGCUGAUCGAGAGAAACACAGGCUGUGAUGACAGCUAUUGAGUUAGUUGUCAUAAUGGAAGCUGAGCCCUGCCUGUGAGCCAUCUGGAGCAUGAUUGGGGAGAAGGAGCAAGGAAGCUGAGCCCCCCUGUGAGCCACUCAGAAUGUGGAUCAGGGAGAACAGUGAAGGAAGCGGAACCCCUGCCUUGCUGCAGGGGUGCACAGGCUGUGGAGAGGACAACAGCCCCACCACCCGCCAGGGGCAACCAACCAGUUCAUUCAGAGGAACUGUGUUGUUUGAUUGACUUUGCAACUAUUUAGAGGACAAGAAUAUGCAAUAUAGUAGUAACUACUGCAGAUUUUCUAAUGAUUUAUCACUGUUCCAGUUUUCUUUAUUGCUGUUUUAUUCCCUUUAAAAUUACAGAGAAAAAAACCCCAAAGAAGUGAAACCCAAAAUGUACAGUAUACACUGUGAAGGUAGAAGGGGAGGAAAUGUGUAAAAAGGAAGGGAAGGAGGUGACCACUGGGAACUUCCUACUACCUUGUUUUGAAGUCAUGUAUCAUUUUCAUUGUUUUGCU